GUCCUUUUGAUGUCGAAGGUCUGGUGCGCCAAUGGGUGAGCCCAUGCUGGUUUCUGGCUGUGACAGAGAAGUCGGCGCUGCGGGCGGCGAGGCCGCUACGGCAACGAUGACUCCAUGAGGGCGGCUUUCAGCGUGCGGUGCUCUCCGGAUGUUGCGCUAGACUAGGUCGGUGCAAGGCUUGCAACUUUCUUCUGUGAAGCUCGUCAACAAAAUCGGAGCUGCCGUGUCCUCGACAUUGCGGUCGACUGUUUGAUGUUGUUGUGGCCAGGUCGUCUGCGUGUGCCCCUUAUGGGGUUUGUAUCUAGGUUUUUGACCGGUUUUUCUCUAAUUAACCAGGCAACUCUCUUCUUGUUAAUCAAUGAAAAUAGCAAAUCUUUUGCCUCGUCUCAAAAACAAAGACUCUUCAUGGGAGUGCAGUAUGUUCGCCCAGCCCAUCAUCAGCGAGACUGGCGUGUGGGGUCACAUUGUCACCAGACCAUUCUCUCCCUCCCUCUCUCUCUCAAAAAUAAAAAUAAAAUGAAGAGACCAGACCACGCAAAUCCUCUCGCACUUGCACUCGCACUCGCACCCGGCCGUCGUGGCCAGGGUGAACUACUUGAAGAACACCUUCAGGUGGACGGAUGCUGAGGUAGGCAUGGCUGUUUCUAAGGCUCCAUCGGUGCUGGCGAGGUCCAAGGAGUCGCUGCAGCGCAGGUCUGAGUUCCUCAUCUCCGAGGUGGGCUUGGAACCGCUGUACAUUGCUCAACGGUCGGAAAUAAUCGGUCACAGCCUAGAGGGCCGGCUCAGGCCCGGGUACUAUGCUGUGAAGUUUCUCAAGGAAAAUGGAUUGCUCAAGCGUGACCCAAACUACAGUACCGUUUUCAAGAUUAGUGAGAAGGCAUUCAGGAAGAAGUUCAUAUCCCCUCACAAGGAGGCUGCACUGCACCUGGCAGAAGACUAUGAUGCCGCUUGCAAGGGGGACGUGCCGACUAAUUUCAGAUUCACAUAAAGACGGGCUAUGAUGUAAUUGGGUGCUGGUUGUCUGAUGUUGUAUGACUGUUAGAUGCUGGGUUGGUCAUUGCUAACGUGUGAUGGAAUUGAUAAUUUGAUCCCCAAAUACUGGUAUGUAAUGCUAUCACUCAGCAGAGAAGAAACCAUUGAUUGGUUAUGAACUUCUCAUCCUCAUUCAUGUUUUAAACACACUUAUUGGAACAAAAUAAGUGUGAGGUCAGGCCAUACUGCAGUGCAUUAAAAUUUCAGUUUUCAAGUUAGUUGCUGGUGCAUUGAGACAAUGAGCCACAGUAAGGUUUCCUUCAUGUGGGUGGUGCAUUCCUAAUAUUCUACUACUGGUUUUGCAAUUCAUAGUUGAUAAUUGGAGGAUCAGUCUGAUGUCCGUCCCAAAUUUAGGUAAAUAGUCUUCUUGGUGCGGUCAAUUCACCUGGCUUUAGCUUAAUCUGUUUUUCAGUUAUGGUUUGAUAUACAAAUCAUUUUGGUUUGCUCAUAUGCAGAUUCAUAGUGACCCGUCUUUGUUUCAACUAAUGAAAUACUCCCUCCAUCCCAUAGUGUAAGUGUAGUGUCAAAAAACGUCUUACAUUAUGGGACGGAGGGAGUAGAUACGUAUUCAUCCGACUAGGUUCACUAGCAGCUAGUUGGUGUUUCUUCCUUCUUUGUACAUCUUCUUUAGUUUUGCUAAAACUCAGUGGUUAGGUUAUUGCUUUGGUCGGUGUGAUUGUGAAUAUAGGCACGAAACAGUUGGUAUCAUGUACAUCCAUGCUCUGAAUUCAUGGUCUGAAUAUCUGCAGAGGCUGCAGGUUCUUAAUUACUUCCCCCUAGUAUCUUGUUUAUUUGAAAUGCUGUGCAUAAUGUGCUAGCCUUCUGGGGCAGAUUACUUCCAACUCGCCACAUAUUCUGCACUUGAAUUAGUUUUUGCCACCUUGGGUGUUCAUCUGGAGGAAGCUAUCAUUGAAGUUCAGUGACGGAUAGUAAAAUUUGCUAUAUGUGUCUUGAACCAUGUUUGAUCUAAAAACACAAGGAAUUCCAGUACUUUCUUUAACCUCCAAAGUAACUGCCGAAGCGUGCUAGAAUUAGUUUAACUUUUAAUUAUCAAGCAGAUAGGUUGUAGUUGUAAUGGUCUGUUUUUUGUAACAAAGUAAGCAUUUCAGAGCUGGCCGUACUUCAACCAAUCAUACAUCAAUGUUUGCUACGUGUCAUUUUGCCGUGUUGUUAAUGCUCUACUUAUUUUCCUUGUCAAUGCAGGGUUAUGGUAAGGCUCCCGGGGGUAAAAAUUGAUUUUCCUGGAGAAGGACCUUAAAGAUGCAUCAUUGUUCAACUGCCAACUAUUUGUUGUUUUCAAGAAUUGGAGCGUGUCCUUGCAGCCAUUGCAUAUCAAUGCAGUCGAAAUAUAGUAGGCAAUCAAGAUGCAUUUUAGCGGUGAUAUGCUUAUGAUCUUAUGGAUGGAAGCCCUAGAGUUCAAUUGCCAGGACUUUUUUCACAAGAGUUAGGAUCAGCUGGCCCCGAGUGCAAAGAACUUCAAGAAACAACAAAGAGUUGUUGAUGGAUAAUUCAGCCGGCUUGCUUCUCUGUUUGCCAAUUGUUUGGAGCUACGAGGUGUCCUAAAUCUCUAGUGCAAAAACUAUAGCACUGGAUGUGUUGCCCUUCAGAGGUGGUGCCGGAAGGAUCAGGGGCGAAGCCAACAUAGAGAAGGAGGCGAUUGUGAUCGCAGCUAAGGGAAGCAAAAGCACGUGGAGGGGCAUUCCUCAGCCUACUGGUACAUGUCAUUCUUCCAGCAAGCGGCGCCAGUUCCAAAAUGAAGAUUUGCUUAAUUGUGAAAGGAUGUUUUGUCUCAAACUCUAUAUGGUCCAAGAUAUACAAUCAUUUCUUGAAAAUCAUAUUACUUCCAUCCCAAAAAGCUUGUCUUAGAUUUGUAUAAAUGCGGAUGUUGGUUCCCUGCUCUAGUUCUUGUAAGCUGAAAAUCUGCGUUCUUUCUGCAGUAUCUUUGUUUGAAGAGAUUAACGGCUGGCAAAGACUAAGUCUCCUCUGGUGUGCAUCAAUCAAGGGUUACAUGUAGUUCUACUUAUGCCCAGCCCGGCAAGGUAGCGGGUAUAUAUGGAAGAAGCUAUGUUGUUAAUCUGUUAUAUCGUGAUUUAAGACCAGCAAAUGGUUAGAAUAUUAACCCUCGGUUAGCAUGGUAUCCAAUAUGCCUAGAUUGAUAUAAAUUGUUGCCUAGAUUGAUAUAAGUUGUUACAUUCACAGGCUAUCUUCAUGCAAACAGAGUUAGGCAUUAACUGA